GCACUCUUACUGUUCUGUGACUUGCACUCAUCAGUCGCUGUCUAAGGUCGCUGUCCCUGUCCACAUAGUUACGUUAUAACCUCAACGAAACUAAACGUCAAACUGUUUCAACCACUGAGCAAGUUUUCAACUCUUCACAAGGUAUAUGAAUAAAAUCACCCUCGGAAUUGUAUUAUGAAAAUAAAUAAUAAUAUUAUAUUGGCAGCUACUCCGGCCAAAAGACCACCACCGCCAACCGGAGCUAUGAUGGCGUCAGUCUGCGGAAGCUGUCGCAGAAUUUCAAUCCCAAUGGAACCAGACGCUGCGAUAACGUUCGGAUGGUCAUAUCUAUAAGAUUUGCACAACGAGGUAUUAAUGAAAGAUAUUUAAAUAUUAACUUGAACUGCUUGUCUCCAGAUGGAUGAUUUGAAAUGAAAUGAAAUGAAAUACGUUUAUUAUGGAUACAUAAAAGAUACAAAUAAAAUAAAACAAAAAACUUAAAUCUAAUUAUCUAACUUAAAUAUAUGUAUGCCAUUGUCAUGAUUUAAAGUACAGUGUAGCUUUCUUCGUCUUCCAUCUCACUGAAUGUCCGCUUUCUCGUCUGAAUUGCUCAUUACCAAUGCAUUAACCAAGAAAUAAAUUCAAUUAGACAAUUUUUAAAUAUCUAUUCCUUUUAGCCUAUAAUUAUAUCAUUGCUCUUUUCGAAUCAGCAUCGGUAACGAUAACCUUAAAGUAAAGUUACCCAUUUAUAUACACUUGUCCUCUUUUUUUAAGCAUAACGAAGGCUUGUCCUUUAGCUUCGUCAAGAUUUUCUCCGAAUGAGACCACAAAUGCACCCAAUUCAUGACAUCUUCCUACAUAGAUAAUUGAUGAAUUUGAUGGAAGUACCACAGUAACUGGUAUUUUCAAGCGUUGACCGUAGUAUGCUAAAGCCUGAAAGUAUUACGUGUUAAAAUUCGUUUUUCAAAGUCAAACCGUAAACCGUACAGUUAAGUUGAAAAGACCAAGUGGAUGGACCACUUGAUCAUAUAAAAAAUUACUUGGUAUUUUGAAGUCAUAAAUUUUUUUUUUAUACACUAACCAGGGCCCAGUUUCCUAAAGAUGCUGUAAUAACACCUCGACUUCGCUGUUCUUCGUUUAACAUUGAUAAUGCAUAAAAUGCUUUUCUCUCAUUGUAACUGCCGUAUAAUAAAGGAUAGUAUAAAAUAGGAAUGCGUUAAUAUACUCAA